UGAGGAAUAUUGGUCAAUGGGCGAGAGCCUGAACCAGCCAAGUCGCGUGAGGGAAGACGGUCCUACGGAUUGUAAACCUCUUUUGUCGGGGAGCAAUAAAGCGUACGCGUACGCAGAUGCGAGUACCCGAAGAAAAGCAUCGGCUAACUCCGUGCCAGCAGCCGCGGUAAUACGGAGGAUGCGAGCGUUAUCCGGAUUUAUUGGGUUUAAAGGGUGCGCAGGCGGAAAGUGCAAGUCAGCGGUCAAACGACGGGGCUCAACCCCGUCUCGCCGUUGAAACUGUCUUUCUAGAGUGAGCGAGAAGUAUGCGGAAUGCGUGGUGUAGCGGUGAAACUGCAUAGAUAUCACGCAGAACUCCGAUUGCGAAGGCAGCAUACCGGCGCUCAACUGACGCUCAUGCACGAAAGCGUGGGUAUCGAACAGGAUUAGAUACC
rnacentral:rRNA from 1 species